UCGGCCCCGGCGGGGCGCCCCGGGCAGCGCGGAGCUCCGCGCGGCCGCCGCGGGCCGGGACGCGCCGCUCUGCUGCAGCGGGGCUUUGCGUUACCCUCGGGACAUCCAGAAAUGGGAGAUGGUUCCUCCUUUAUUGGAAGUGAAAUCUCUGCAACAAAAGAAAUCCCCAUGGUUGAAUUCAGAGAAGGCAGCCUGAGGAAAUGAAAUGUACCUUCCGAAGGGUAGGGAGCAGCUCAAUACCGUAUGCAGGAUUCCCCACCUAGUGGACAGUCAAUAAAAUGAACUUAUUUCUAUCCUAAUACAAACUAGUUAAUGUAUCCACACUUGUCUUUUGCUGCCUGUUUUAACAGAAUGGUUUGGUUUCUACCAUAUAAUUCUAAUUCCUUUUAACUAUGGAUAUCUGAGUAGUGAGGGACGGGCAAGAGAUGUAACUAAUGAACUCGAGUACGAGCUGUAAAUUUGGUUACUGGUAUAUGAACCUUUAUUUCUUCAACUGAUGGUGCAUACACUCAGUGCAAAUAAUUUCAAGCAGUGUCUUCUUAUAUUUUUAAGUUAAAGGUAGAGGAAAAGGAGUUAUGAAUGUAUGGGUGCAUAAGACUGGUAUUUUAUAUUCAGUAUCACUCCCAGAUAACUUAUGACAAAGGUGUGUCAAAUCUUGGCCCAGGAAUGAAGAUAAAGCUAAGGUAAGCUUUGUGGAGUACAGUCUGAAUACCAAAUCAAAUCUUAUCUUCUGUGAGAGACUUUAUCCUAGUUUUUGUUAACCACCUGUCACUCAUCUCUGUGAAAACUGUUGGUACUUUCCAGCUAUCUACCACUGAGGUGUGUGGCUGUGGAGUUGUCUCCUUAUUGCUAAAUGAUUUGAAGAACAAGGGCCAUGCAGUAGCUAGAAUGUUAAGAGACAACUCAAGUGUGUAGGUGAAAAUAGACAGAUUAUCUGGUUUGCAUAAAACUCUAAGCUACCUCAGAAAGUCCAGAUGGAUGCAAGGGAAAACAGGCAUGGAAAACAACCAUUUAUGGAGGUGAUCAGUAUUACAAAGACCAGCUUCACCAAAAAGUGUUAAAUGAACAAGUAGCAUUACUCACAGUUCAUUAACUCAAUCUACCCUGCUGAAAUAUCCAAACUUGAUGAAAUGCAAACAGCAGACAGGUAGAUCUAAUGCUGAAUUCAUAGAGUGUCCUGAGUUGUGGUACCACAUCAGUAUUUAACAUUCUGAUGUAAAACAGAGUGCAGUUGCACUGUCUGUGUAAAAGAUGGCAGUAGAUGUGUGAGGAUUACCAGCUAGGACAGGCAGGCUGUUCUGCUCCAGGACAGGCAGAUGAAGACUAAAGUCAGCUGGCAACUCUGUGGUCUCCAUGACAACUGAGCUGAAUAGGGGAGACAGCACAGGGUGCAAUUCUUGGUUAUCUCCUACAAUCAUUUCAAGAACUUCCAGACAGCCAGGGAAGCAAGCUGCUAGUCUCUGGCACGUGCCUCAGGAUGACUGGAGAAUUUCUUGCUGUUGGACCAGUGGAAUUAACGAGCUUGCGGUCCUUUUCCGACACAUCGAACUCCAUGGCUGAGAUGCUGCCGCGACUCUGAUUAUCAUCGCUUACGUUUGCUCUUAGUGGCGAAGAACUUAAGAACUGGGAAGGUGACAUCAUGGUCAUCAUUUCUGUGAAAGUAUCUGCCAUACUAGUAUCAUCUGUGCUUAGAUUAGAUUGUUCUGAAGGCGAGGGAGAUAUGGGCAAAGGAGAGCUGAUGUUUUCAGUAUUUACUGCUUUGCAGCCAGGUCCAGUAGAUGUUUUUUCUGGAGGGAAGCUGGAUAUCGUAUUGGCUACUGGUUUAUUUAGUGUUGCAACAGGAAAUGCCACAGUCACUUCCCCAGUGUUACCUGUGGCCACAGUAGAAGUGGUUACUGUAACAGAGCUACUAGUAGCAACCCCAUUGUUAUUAAGAUCUUGAUAGGGUUUCAGACGCUCAAUAAGAUCUGUUUUUGUUCCAGACACUGGUAAUCCCCUCAAUUUCAACUCCAUUUUAAGCUCUGCUACCUGAAAUAAAAUAAAGCACAACAGUAAAAGAUCAUGAAAUAUUAAACCUUAUUUCUCAACAUUCUAUGUUAUUACAUCUUAAUAAGAAAAAAUAUUUUUCAGCAUACUCAGAAGUUAUUAACCUCUGGCUUCUGAGAUAAUGCACAAGCCACGAGCACAUUUCCAUGAUGUGCUACUUGCACUGUUGAAGUGGCCAAAAUUUGAGCAGUGAAUAGUAGCAAAGUUAUGCUGAUUUUUCAUAAAUAUUCAAAACAGGAAAACAAACACACAUCUCCAGUUCUGGGCUAAACACUUCUGAAACAAAACUGCAGAUGAUGGCAGCAGGGCAGAUGGAAGCACUAACCACAAGCAUGUUGAAGCCCUCUGUUACACCAUCAGGACAACUAUUUCUCUAUUUCUGAGAAAUUUUAUCAGGUCAGCUGGAGGACCCAUCAAAUACAAAAGGCUCUCCCUCUGAUUAGCAACAUAACUGUUACAGCUACAUGCCAUCUGGGUUGUUGUACAAACAUAAGAAGUACAAUCAGUCAAAAUUAAUCUAAUUUAUGAUGGAAAAACAUUCUCAAAUCUCCAAUAAGCUUAGGAAGUGAAGUGCAAAUGUGUUGAGUGUAAAUUAAUUCAGUGCUUCAGAAUACCAAUUAAAAAAGAACAGUCACAAUGAAUGGCUUCUGCUUAUGGCAUACAUACACCACGCCUAACUAUAGAGUGUCUGGGGCUAUAUGUAGGUUAGAACUACCUCUAAAAGAAUAAAAGGUAGUGAUGUCAGUAAUAUUUCAGUACUUUUCCAGCCUAGAAAUUUAAAUUACAGAUCCUCAUGAUUUGAAAUGCUGAAAAGUUACAGCAAUCCAUUUAACAUCUGUGAGAACCACAGUGACUUCACAUUAAAUAACCGCCACCGUGACCAGUGGCUGUUUUGCCCAGUCUGGUAUCUUCUACGUUUGCUUGAGAGCACAUUCCAACUUCUCUAUUUUUCAACAACGUAGUCUGCAAUCCUUCAUCAGAACUGAUUUAGAUGAUUCAGUGUUAAAACCACCAACAGAAGGUCUGCAAAUAUGGCUCACAUUACUGUUACCCACAUUAGCAGGAAUAACAAUACAUUACGCAGCAAUGGGUAAGUUAACAGCUUUAAUCUCUGCAAAGCACAGACUCAGACAUCAACUUAAACAUCUUAAAAAGUUAACAGCUAAUAACCCCAAGUUUGAAAAGCUUAUUUCAAACACUGUCAUUUGAAUAGCACUUUAUAGACUUGUUUCAUAUUAAAAGAUUGCCUUUAACUGCCAACAAUAUAUUCCCCAUUUGAGAGUCUGACCUCAUUUUUUAAUCCUUUCAAGCCUAAAAAAAUACCCACUGCCACCCCUCAGAACCUAGCACUAGGUGCAGGGAGGGAGUGGGGACUGCUCACAUGGCCCUGGACCUGCUAGAGAAAGGCCCUGGACCUGAACUCCAUGAGCUUCUCCAGAUUCGUUUGCAUUAGGUCUCUCCUGUUACUGUAUUUCUGAAGGAAGAAAAUCUCAUGCAAUGCCUUUACAUUUGAACCACUGAGUGUCUCGCAUUGGAAGGGACCCAUACAGAUCAUCACAUCUAACCUCCUGCUCCUUGCAGGACUACCUAAAGCUACACCACAUAAUUAAGAGCAUCAUCUAGAUGCUCCUUGAACUUGUUUACACUGUUACUUGUAACUUCAAGAAGCUUUUCUGAAAUUUAGUGUUGCUUUUCAGAUGAUGUUGAACUCUGGUAAGAAGAUCUCUUCUCUUUUGCUAGUGUUAUUUGUGUGUUGGCUUGACAGCAGUUAACUCUCUGAAUAUGUUAUUUAUUAGGCCAUCUUUUAACUCAUGCUGCUUAGCUAAACUUUACUGAUAUACUAACAUUAUCAUGAGGAAAUUCCUAUUCCAGUGUUUGAAUCUGCCAGGGCUAAAACUUCACAUAAAGUGCACCUCGUAAUUUACCCACGGUAUUAAAUGAUGUACCUCAACGAUUUAUUUGAAAUUCUUCUUCCUCUUCUAAUUCUUUGGGAAGGAAAUGCCAUUGCUAGAACCCAAGCAGGUGAGGACACUAAAUCAAACCCAAUUUUUAAGUUCAGAAGAGCUGAUCACAAAAAGGCUGACAAUCUUAUUCUCAACAGUUAAGAGGACAGUACAGUUUUCAUUGGUAAAUAACAUCCAGACUUUUUCUUGACAGUAACAGCUUGUAAGUUAUGACCUAUAGUGAUGAAUAUGAAUGGACUCUUAUUUUUUACCUUCAAGUCAUCCAGGCUUGAAGGCAGAGGUCCUGGUUUCCGGCUGGGAAUAGUAGUGUUCUGUCUGGGUGAGCUGGCAGCUGAGGUUGGUGUAUUGUUGUUCAGAGUAUUCAGUGGCGUAUUCCCAUUGCUGCUCUGUUUGUCAUUUAGUGGCCUUCAAGUGAUAAGAAAGGGGAGGAUAAUCAUAUUAACGCCAAACACAUUCUCAAUCAAGAAACUAUGAUUCUGACUCUAAUGUCUGUCAAGUUAAUGAACAAAUUAAUAGUUUUUAUAAACAGAUAUUUAACAUAAGACAGGAGUGUUAAGUAUUUUUAGUAAAACAGCACAGAGAAGAAAAGCUAACGGCGAGUAGUACCUUGCCAUUUUACUUUCUCUUCAGUGAAGUGUAUUACCUUACACUUCAUCCUUUUUGUUAUUGUCAUGCUACCCCUGGAGGUUACUAAGGACUGCAGAAUUAGUUGAUACAAAUUAAUCACCAGCCUGGGCAACUAGUUAAAGUUUUUUGGUUGCCAUCAGUUAAAAGCCCCCGCAAUAUCAACCCUACAUGGAUGUCCAAUAUUCAUCCGUGACAAGCAGCGCUGUGAAGGCAGCUCACUCUGAAGAUGACGCACAUUUCUCAGCUGUACUCGUAAGAAGAAUCUCAUAGAAAGAUCUCAAAAUAAUUGUAAAAAGUUUUUUCAAAUGCCAUCUAGGCACUACUAGGAACCAUAAGUCAGCUCUUCUGUGUAGUUCAACUGAUUUAUGAAGAAAUGUUUCUGAAAUGUCAGUAAAUGGAACAUAAGAAGCGUGGGUAAGCAGGCAGAAACAUCUCUAGUCCAAAUGUUAGGAUACAUGGUAAUUAUAACUGUAACCACAGAUGGUAUCUUUAACUUCUCUAGUCUCACUUGCUGAGGAAAAACAACCCAGUGAAAAUUUAUUUAAAAAAAACCCAGUUGAAAGUCAUUUGAAUUUAGAGUUGUGUGACUGUGGCAUGUUACACUAUAAGCACUUCUAGGAAAAGACCGGUCUUAGGUGGUGAGAAUGGAACUGUGCAGACAUUCAUUCUCUCAUUCUGCUACAGGGUGCUGGCAACUCUUCAAAAAUCUACUUUUCUGAGUGUUUCUAUCUAUAAAUCAGAAAGUCUACUUCUCACUGUUAUAAGUGCUGAAGAUCAAUACUAAUGAGGAACUAACAUAAGCAUUAGAGAGGAGGCUAUAAACAAUACACAAAUCUUACCCAAUUUAAAAUGACUGUUUCUUCUUAUUUGUAAACUGCAAAAACGUGGUCUGUGAAACUGAUGUAAAAAGACAAUAAACCCACAACAA